ensembl:lncRNA
UUGCCUUUCCAAACACACAGUUAUAAUUCUAGUCUGCCUGAGGCAUCCAUCGCUCUGAAGGGAAAUCAGGGUCUGCUGCAGAAGGGAUACAAAGAAUAAGACCCAGGUGAUGUUCAGCUUUUGACAUUGAAAAUUCAGCUUUUGCCUAGCCCUGAGUCCUGAAGAGUUUCUCCUAUAUAGUUUUCUAAUAAUUUUUGUCUAAAGUUUUUGUCUAAAAAAUCAGCUGACAAUCCCUAACAAUCAGUUGUUUGCCAGGUGAUUAGCUGCCUCUCUACCUUCCUCGUGGUCCGAUAAACUGCAGGAACGUAUGGAAUCAUUCACACUUAGCUUGUGCUGGGCCAGGCCGCGCAUGUCACCUUGAGUUUCGCUGGCCGCUGACAAGACCUCAAGCUGCCAAGAGCUGCCGCACUAUCCUUCCCCGGCUCCCAUUUUAAUGGAAGGGGUCGCUGGCAGGGCCAGGAGAUUAAGAGCAUGCCCCUUAUUCAGCUUUAUCUCAGCAAGUAUUCAUAGUUUUAGAGUUGCAAGGGACCUUCUCAAAGGGAACAGGCUAAAACCAAGGAAUGUUCAGUGAUUUUUUUCCAAUUUACAGAAUCUUCAGCUUCUGACUCCCAGGCUGAGCUCUUUUCAUUGUCCCCACAAAGCACCAGCCAGUGGACUACUGGUCACUCCUCCUGGCCUGCCGCAGCCUCUGUCCCAUAACAGGGAGCAAACAGCUGUGGCGGCUCAGAGAAUCCGCCAGGUCGUAGCAAUUUAAUCCAGUGCUCUCAUGGGGAUCUGCUGUGAGCAUCUCAUGCAGGGGCUCCGAGCUGCCAGCUUUCCCUCCGAGCUGCCUUCAGCGUCCUGUCCUCGCCCUCACAGCCUGGGAGUUCUGGAGGCUGGAAGUUUGAGAUCAGGGUGCCAGCAUGGACAAAUUCUGGUGGGAACUCCUUUCUGAGCUGAAGACUGAUAACUUAUUGAAAAGAACAUUGUUGGAAGACUGACAUUGCCAAAUUUCAAGACUUAUUUCAGUGGAGUGAUAUUGGCAAGAUGGUGGUGGAAUGGGAAGCCCAAGACCAUCCUUCCCCACAUGAACACACACAAUACAUGGGCAAGCUCCCUUUGUGAGAAAACCAUAAAGUAAUUGAUGGCUCCUGCACAACUGGUUAGUGUGCUACUACCCAUAACAAAGGCAGUAGGGAAAUUUGAGACACUCUCUUGUCAUAAUUCCUAUCCCCAGCACAAUGACAAAUGAUUAAGAGGAAAUUCCCAAGAUCCAAGGUUCUCCCUAGGACAGGAAAUAGGUAGACUGUGCAUCCAAUGCCCCAACUUUUCUGGGGACUACCCACAGUGCUGUUUUCUGUCUAGCCUCCCUUGGAAUGAUGAUGGGACCCAGCAUAAUAUAGCCACCUGGGACCACUGAAACAGUGAUGGUGUUUUGGCCUGGAAGUCACCAGAGGCCCAUAGACCCUCACAUCAGCACAUCAAAGAGGGAACAGAUGAAAAACCAUAGUUCCAAGUUUUUCCCUGGGGAGAGAAAGAGGUAAACCAUACAUCCAAUGCUCCAACUUUUUCAGGGACUACCCAA